rnacentral:rRNA from 1 species
GACGAACGCUGGCGGCGUGCUUAACACAUGCAAGUCGAGCGGUAAGGCCCUUUCGGGGGUACACGAGCGGCGAACGGGUGGGUAACACGUGGGUGACCUGCCCUCAGCUCUGGGAUAAGCCUGGGAAACCGGGUCUAAUACUGGAUAUGACUCCAUGACGCAUGUUGUGGGGUGGAAAGCCUUGUGCGGCUGAGGAUGGGCCCGCGGCCUAUCAGCUUGUUGGUGGGGUGAUGGCCUACCAAGGCGACGACGGGUAGCCGGCCUGAGAGGGCGACCGGCCACACUGGGACUGAGACACGGCCCAGACUCCUACGGGAGGCAGCAGUGGGGAAUCUUGCGUAAUGGGCGAAAGCCUGACGCAGCGACGCCGCGUGAGGGAUGACGGCCU